ACAAGCAGGCCCACCUUUUAGCAAGCAGACCCCAAGCAGAGCUCUGGUGAAAAUGCUUCAAAUCUCUUCCAUUCACAAUUUCCUAACCUUGCCUUUAUUUUUACUAUUUUUACUAUUUUUUAGGGACGUGCUGACGUGCUGAGCUGCUGUGUCUGUCUGAAGUCUGCUGCGCUGCCACAUCGUGAUGGACAGAGGCCAUGUGAUGUUUCUUCCAUCUCAUUUCUUUGAGGAGGAGGAAAAAUGUGAUGUGCGCUAAAAGUGGGGCAAAGUGAUUCAGCACUUUCAGCACCGUGGACAGCUCCAGGCACUUGAUGUGGACAGAUGGAGGCUGUGGCCACUUUCCUCCCUCAGCCUGAGACUGACACAUUCCUCUCCAUAAGACAUGAAGACAAAGUUCAAUCCAUUCCUCAAAUGUUUGCUCUUGAGUUGUAGGUUUUUUUUCAGCCUCUAAACUCUUGAGAUCCAGAGUAUUAUUCUUCUGUUCGCCUCAUGCAAACCACAUCAACAUGGAGAGAAAUGCAAAGCGGAGGAAAAACUUCAUCCUUCACUGCCAGCCAAUAUUUUCUGUUUAUUCAUUGUUU